ensembl:lncRNA
GCGAACGUUUGCCCACACGCCGCCCGAUAAUUAAUACUGUUACGAUAGCUAUCGUUACGAGAUGGCUACGGUAGCUAGCUAGGUAGCAUUAGAUGCCAUUGGAUCUGCAUGGCAGUUAUGAUAAGCUAGCUGGCUAAUCCACCACCCGGUCCUCUUUGCCAGUGCGGCGCUUUUAUCGGACACUUUUAGCUUGACGAGCGGGAAAUAAUUGUAGCUUUCAAUCAUUGUUGUGUGUUUUUUAUUUUAAUGUCGUGGUAUUUCACAUGUCUAGGGACAGACGAGGACACGAGGGCCUUAAUCCCGUGGCGGUCGGUGCACAAAUCCCUCUUCACGGGGAAGAGGAACGCCUCCGUGACUGGAUUUGAGUAAGUAAAAUGACUCAUAUGGUAGCUAAUAGGACUUUACUCUAAAUGGUUGCCUUAGUUGCUAACCUUGCAAUGAUCAAUGUGGUCAUUACUGUGUCAGGGAUGUGGUUGAGGCAAGAUGUUAAAGCAGCAUAUAUUUCCACCAGGGUCUUCAUAAAGGAGAGCGGGCUUGGGAGGUUGGAUCCCAAGCUCGUGAAAAAGAGGUGGGAGAACCUCAUCCACAAAUAUAAGAGACGUUUCCUGGAGGUGCUGGUGCUGGUUCUGGUGCUGGCUGGUCCUCUGCUGCCCUCCCGACAUCUGCAUCUGGCUCCAGCAGGUCACCGUUGGUGAGGCAGAUGUUGUGGAGCACAGUGCAGCAGACAAUGACCUCUGGCACAAACCUCACAUCCACCUCCAGGGCCUUCAAGAAGAUGGACCGCCAUCGCGUCUUCAGUAUCCCAAAGGACCUCUCCACAACACACCUCGCCUUUGACAGGCAGCAGUUGUAGUGUGCUUGGAGGUGGUUGCGGAUAGGCUGCCUGAAGGGGGUCAUGAGGCAGAUGGGUUGGGACAGGCAGGGGUAGCCACCAUCCCCAAGGAUACAGUAUCCUGGUGGAGGGUAUGACUGCUCAUAGUAGAUGGGGCUGUUUUUUAGGACCCUGGCAUCAUGCACUGAGCCUGGGUAGCCCACACACACAUCUAUAAAUUUGCACUUAUCAUCACAGAUGGCCUGCAGCUGGAUGGAGUGAAAAAGCUUCCUGUUGAAAUAAGAGGCAGCAUCCUCCGCUGGGGGCUUUACUCGGAUGUGGCAGCCAUCAAUAGCCCCCACCACUCUGCUGAAGGCUGCUGACCCAGCUAGACGGGCGAAGCGGGCACCUAGGCGUGGGAGUUCCUCUCCUGUAGGGUGGCGGACAACGGUGUACAGGAGCGCAGCGAUCUGCCCACUCAUCCUGUGCACCAGCCGGUGAACGGUGGCCCGGGGCAUGUCGAAGGCCCUGGCCACCACCCGAUAGGAGGUGGCGCUGGCAAGCCAAAAAAUAAAAACGAGACAGGAGAUCUCA